CGGGGUGUAGCUCAGUCAGGUUAGAGCGCACGGUUCGGGACCGUGAGGUCGGCGGUUCGAAUCCGCCCACCCCGACCA
rnacentral:tRNA from 2 species